rnacentral:lncRNA from 1 species
UUCAAUUAAGUUCAAAUUUAAUGUUUAUUUUUUCUUUACAGCAUGUUGGUGGGCUUCUAUAAUCUCAGCUACUCUGGAGGCUGAGGCAGGAGAAUUGAUUGAACCCAGCUGGCAGAGGCUGCAGUGAGCUGAGAUCACACCACUACACUCCAGCUUGGACUAGAAGAAUCCAGUUUUAUUCUUCUGCAUAUGGAUAUCUAGUUUUCCCAGCACCAUUUAUUGAGGAGACUGUCUUUUCCCCAGUGUU